rnacentral:rRNA from 1 species
AUUGAACGCUGGCGGAAUGCUUUACACAUGCAAGUCGAACGGCAGCACGGACUUCGGUCUGGUGGCGAGUGGCGAACGGGUGAGUAAUAUAUCGGAACGUGCCCAGUCGUGGGGGAUAACGUAGUGAAAAUUACGCUAAUACCGCAUACGAUCUAAGGAUGAAAGCGGGGGAUCGCAAGACCUCGCGCGAUUGGAGCGGGCCGAUAUCAGAUUAAGUAGUUGGUGAGGUAAAGGCUCACCAAGCCAACGAUCUGUAGCUGGUCUGAGAGGACGACCAGCCACACUGGAACUGAGACACGGUCCAGACUCCUACGGGAGGCAGCAGUGGGGAAUUUUGGACAAUGGACGCAAGUCUGAUCCAGCCAUUCCGCGUGCAGGACGAAGGCCUUC